rnacentral:rRNA from 1 species
AAACUUUCAACAACGGAUCUCUUGGCUCUGGCAUCGAUGAAAAACGCAGCGAAAUGCGAUAAGUAAUGUGAAUUGCAAAAUUCAGUGAAUCAUCGAAUCUUUGAACGCACAUUGCGCCCGCCAGUAUUCUGGCGGGCAUGCCUGUUCGAGCGUCAUUU